rnacentral:rRNA from 1 species
AACGAACGCUGGCGGCAGGCCUAACACAUGCAGGUCGAGCGCGCCUUCGGGUGAGCGGCGGACGGGUGAGUAACGCGUGGGAAUAUGCCCUUCUCUACGGAAUAGUCCUGGGAAACUGGGGGUAAUACCGUAUACGCCCUUUGGGGGAAAGAUUUAUCGGGGAAGGAUUAGCCCGCGUUGGAUUAGGUAGUUGGUGGGGUAAUGGCCUACCAAGCCGACGAUCCAUAGCUGGUUUGAGAGGAUGAUCAGCCACACUGGGACUGAGACACGGCCCAGACUCCUACGGGAGGCAGCAGUGGGGAAUCUUAGACAAUGGGGGCAACCCUGAUCUAGCCAUGCCGCGUGAGUGAUGAAGGCCUUAGGGUUGUAAAGCUCUUUCAGCUGGGAAGAUAAUGACGGUACCAGCAGAAGAAGCCCCGGCUAACUCCGUG